rnacentral:siRNA from 1 species
GGAUGUUGCUUAUAGGACU